CUUCACCGAACCCAACCACAGCGGUCGUCCCUCCGGACGCUCCUGACCGUAGGUGGCCAGCAGCGCCUGGGCCUC
rnacentral:antisense_RNA from 1 species